rnacentral:sRNA from 1 species
GCUGGGCACUGCAGCCCAUGCCUGUGAUCCCAGUAACUUGGGAGGCUGAGGCAGGAGAAUCUCAAGUUUGAGACCAGCCACAUCAACUUAGCAAGGCCCAAAGCAACUUAGCAAGACCCUGUCUCAA